UUUCCGUAGGUGAACCUGCGGAAGGAUCAUUAAUGAGUUGUCAUGGGGUUCGAUGCUGGCAGCCAGUUUUUGGAUGCAUGUGCUUGCCCUAACAAUCAUCUUCUUCCAAACACCUGUGCACAUUUUUGAGGAAGUCUUGAGUUGGUUGCCGCUCUUGGGUGAUUUUCUCACAUUCCCUUAAAUCAUUAUACGCUAUUAACAAUGUUGAACGUGCUCUGUGCCGCAAGGCUAUUAAUAUAAUACAACUUUUAACAACGGAUCUCUUGGCUCUC
rnacentral:misc_RNA from 1 species